GAUGAACGCUGGCGGCGUGCCUAAUACAUGCAAGUCGAGCGAACAGACGAGGAGCUUGCUCCUCUGACGUUAGCGGCGGACGGGUGAGUAACACGUGGAUAACCUACCUAUAAGACUGGGAUAACUUCGGGAAACCGGAGCUAAUACCGGAUAAUAUAUUGAACCGCAUGGUUCAAUAGUGAAAGACGGUUUUGCUGUCACUUAUAGAUGGAUCCGCGCCGCAUUAGCUAGUUGGUAAGGUAACGGCUUACCAAGGCAACGAUGCGUAGCCGACCUGAGAGGGUGAUCGGCCACACUGGACCUGAGACACGGUCCAGACUCCUACGGGAGGCAGCAGUAGGGAAUCUUCCGCAAUGGGCGAAAGCCUGACGGAGCAACGCCGCGUGAGUGAUGAAGGUCUUCGGAUCGUAAAACUCUGUUAUUAGGGAAGAACAAAUGUGUAAGUAACUAUGCACGUCUUGACGGUACCUAAGCAGAAAGCCACGGCUAACUACGU
rnacentral:rRNA from 1 species